rnacentral:rRNA from 1 species
UACGGGGGGGGCAAGCGUUGUUCGGAAUUACUGGGCGUAAAGGGCUCGUAGGUGGCCAACUAAGUCAGACGUGAAAUCCCUCGGCUUAACCGGGGAACUGCGUCUGAUACUGGAUGGCUUGAGUUUGGGAGAGGGACGCGGAAUUCCAGGUGUAGCGGUGAAAUGCGUAGAUAUCAGGAGGAACACCGGUGGCGAAGGCAGAUCUCUGGGCCGUAACUGACGCUGAGGAGCGAAAGCAUGGGGAGCGAACAGG